UAGGGUUUUAGGGUUUAGGGUUAGGUUUAGGGUCUUAGGGUUAGGGUUUAGGUUUAGGGUUAGGGUUUAGGGUUUAGGGUUAGGUUUAGGUUAGGGUUUAGGGUUUAGGUUCGGGUUUAGGUUUAGGUUUAGGUUAGGGUUUAUGUUUAUGGUUUAGUUUUAGGGUUAAGGUGUUUAGGUUUGAGGGGUUUAGGUUUAGGUUGUAGGUUAGGGUUUAGGUUUAUGGGAUUUAGUUAGUGGUUAUAGGGUAGGGUUAGGUUUAGGGUUUAGUUUAGGUUUAGUUAAGGGUUUAGGUUAGGUUAGGGUUAAGGUUAGGGUUUAGGGUUGAGGGUUUAGGUUAGGUUAGGGUUAUAGGGUUUAGGGUUUAAGGGUUCGGGUUUAGUUAAGGUUAGGGUUUAGGGUUAGGGUUAGGUUAGUUAGGGUUUAGGGUUUAGGGUUUAGGGUUUAGGUUUAUGGUUAGGGUUUAGGUUUAGGGGUAUAAGGUUUAGGGUUAGGUUUAGGGUUAGUUUAGGUUAGGUUUAGGUUUAGGUUUAGUUUAGGGUUAGGUUUAGGUUUAGGGUUAGGUUAGGUUAGGUUACGGUUAAAGGGUUUAGGUUAGGGUUUAGGUUUAGGUUAGCGUUCUAGGGUUUAGGUUAGGGUUACGGUUUAGGUUAGGUUAGGUUAGGGUUUAGGGUUUAGGGUUCUCGGGUUUAGGGUUUUACGUUAGGUUUAGGGUAGGUUAGGUCUUAGGUUUAGGGUUAGGGUUUUAUGAGUUUAGGGUCAUUAGUUAGGUUUAGGGUUAGGUUAGGGUUAGUAGGUUAGGGUUAGUGUAGGUUUCGUUAGGGUUUUAGGUUUCGGGUUUAGGUUUGGGUUUAGAGUUAGGUUUAGGUUUAGGUUUACUAGGUUUAGGUUAGGGUUUAGGUUUAGGGUUUAGGUUUAGGGCUUUAGGGUUAGUUUAGGGUUAGGUUUAGGGUUUAGGGUUAGGGUUUUAGGGUUAGGGCUUUAGGUUUAGGUUAGGGUUUAGGUUAAGGGUUAGGUUACGGUUAGGCUUAGGGUUAGGGUUAGCGGUUUAGUGUUUAGGGGUGGGUCUAGGGUUAGGGUUAGGGUUUAGGGUUUAGGUUAGGGUUAGGAGGGUUAGGGUUAGGUAUGGUUAGGGUUUAGGGUUUAGGUUUAGGGUUAGGUGUUUUUUUAGGGUUUAGGGUUUAGGGUUUAGUUUAAGGUUUAGUGUUUAGGGGUUUAGGGUUUAGGUUUAGGUUUACGGUUAGGGUUUAGGGUUAGUUUAGGGUUUAGGUUUAGGGCUUAGGUUUUAGGGUAGGUUUAGGGUUUUAGUGUUUAAGGUUAGGUUUAUGGUUUAGGGUUUCAGGUUAGGUUUAGGGUUAGGUUUAGGUUUAGGUUUACGGGUUAGGUUCUAGGGUUAGGGUUAGGGUUAGGUUAGGGUUUAGGUAUUAGGUUUAGGGUUAGGGUUUAGGGUUUAGGUUUAGGGUGAGGUCUAUGUUAGGGUUUAGGGUUAGGGUUCAGGGUUUUAGGUUAGGGAUUUAGGGUUCAGGUUAGGUUUAGGGUUAGGGUUUAGGGUUAGGUUUAGGUUUAGGGUUUAGGGUUUAGGUUAAGGUUUAGGAUUUAGGUUAGGGUUUAGUUUAGGGUUUAGGUAGGGUUAGGUUUAGGUUUCAGGGUUAAGGUUUACGGUUUAGGGUUUAGGGUUUAGUUAGUUUAGUGAGGUUAGGGUAAGGUUUGCGGUUAGUACGGUUUAGGUUUAGGUUUAAGGUUUAGGUUUAGGUUUAGGGUCUUAGGGUUCGGUUUAGGGAUUAAGGUUAGGGUUUUUAGGGUUUAGGGUUUCACGGUUUAGUUUAGGUUAGCGGUAGGGUUAGCGGUUUAGGUUUAACGGGUUUUAGGGUUAGGGUUUAGGGUUUAGGGUUUAGGUUUAGGUUUAAGGGUUUUAAGGGUUAGGCAGGUAGUAGCGUUAGGUUUAGGUUGGUUUAGUGGUUUAGGGUUACGGGUUUAGGGUUUAUAGUUUAAGGGUUUAGGUAGGGUUUAGGUUUAAGGUUUAGGUCUAGGUUUUAGGUUAGGGUUUUUAGGGUUAGGUUUAGGUUUAGCGGUUUAGGGUUUAGGGUUUAGGCUAGGGUUAGUUUAGGUUAGGGUUAGGUUAGGUUUAGGGUUAGCGUUUAAGGUUAGUUUAGGGUUAGGGUUUAAGGGUUUAGGGUUAAGGUUUAGGGUUUAGGUUUUAGGUUUAGGUCUAGGUUUAGGUUUAGGGUUAGGUUAGGGUUUAGGUUUAAGGGUUUAGGGUUAGGUUUUUAGGUUUAGGCUCGGUCUUAUGGUUUAGGGUUAGGUUAGGUUUAGGUUUAGGGUUUAGGGUAGGUUAGGGUUUAGUUCAGGGUUUAGUUUAGCGGUUUAGGGUUAGGGUUUAGUUAUGGUUAGGUUCAGGGUUCGGUUAGGUUAGGGUUUAGGGUUAGGGUUAGGUGUAGGGCUUUAGGUUUAGGGUUUAGGGUUUAGGGCUUUUAGGGUAGAGUUAGGUUUAAGUUACGGG
rnacentral:lncRNA from 1 species